rfam:Saprolegnia parasitica CBS 223.65 unplaced genomic scaffold supercont2.102, whole genome shotgun sequence.
GGUCUUAUAGUGUAGCGGUCAUCACGUCUCCUUGACGUGGAGAAGGUCCCCGGGUUCAAGUCCGGGUAAGACCA